GGAGAUUAAUAUCUAUAAAUACCUUAAAUUUUAUGUAUUUUAGGGACAGAUUGUGAUCAAUAAAAAUACUGUAGAGAAUUUUCUCUAUUCUUUCACUCUUUUUUAUGAAGCGUGUUUCUAUUUGAACUUCACGUUGCGUCAGGUGGUAUCAAAGCAGGGAAAUCGCCCCAAUCAAGAUGACUUACCUUGAAAGAGGCGGCAAUUACAGUGGUUCUUGCGAU
rnacentral:misc_RNA from 1 species